ACUUCUUAUCCCCAUCUAUUUAUCUUUACAUUUUCCUUCCUCUAUUUACGAAUCAACUCUAACCUGUCCCAAGCCCUAAAUUUAAAAAGGUCUACCUGAGCAUAUCUUUUCUCUAGAUCUUUUCUAUGGGUCCACCUGCGUAGGCUACGUGAGAAAAGUAACGUUGAAUGGUAAGAAAAUAUCGUACGGUCAGAUGGAUCGGACGGUUGGAGCGAAAGAGGAAACUGUUCUCUGGAUUAUCCUUGAAACGUAAUGGAACGUUUCGCAAGAAACACGUUUUCCGUGAACCGCACGCUAUCGACAGAUUCUGCAUUACUGGGCGGUUCGCUGGAAACAUCGAUUCUCUUUGAGGAAAGUGUCAGCGAUUAAACUGACCUGUGUAAAAGGCAGAGGCUCCGAGGUUGCGCCGCAAGCUCCGCAAACGCUUUGCUCGACCAACGUCAUGGCGAACUUCUGAUGUGGCACGCAGUGUCUCGCGCUGCACAUGUCUUCCGCCUCUCCGCUGGCUAUGUGAAGAUGUAUACGCAGAAGAAUGUUUUCCUGAAACAAUACGUUCCCCGUAAAUAUGUCUCCCGUUAUUAUCGUAUCCUCGAUGAUACACCGCUAGAAAUAGAAGAGUCCUUGGUAAUCGGCCAUCGAUUACUGUAAUUUCAAAGCGUAAGUAACAGGAUGUGCAUUUCUAUACUUGUUUGAUGUAUCACACUGUUUUUAACCGUUCAGUAAAAAACUGUAAUUUUUUCUAUAUAAAAGAACUAGAUAUUUAUGUAAAAUCAAUUUGUUGUCAGUAGCUCCUUGCGAAUCUCUUAGAACAAUGAAUAAAGCGAAUCUCUUAAAAUAAACACCCAUUCUAUUUUCUGUGAAUGUUUCGACUUGAUUGGUUGAAUAAAUAGCUAGCGUUCAUAUUUUUCAAAAAAGAGAAAAAAACAGAACAAAACUUUGUGAAUAUGUUUUUAAAAAUAAAUAAAUUUCUUUGCAGAAACAGAGAUUAAAUUUUCGACAAAUAAAUGAUUUAUAUUUCGGUUCUGUUUAUCAUAGAUAAAUAGCGUAAAAUAACAGCCGAAUUAAUGGCAUUGUAUGCGUGACUAUUAACAAAUAAAAGCUAAAUAUAUUAA